rnacentral:pre_miRNA from 12 species
CCAACAAAACUUCCACAGCCAGUCACAUCCCCUUAUCACUUUUCCAGCCCAGCUUUCUAACUCUAAUUGUUGGACGGAGAACUGAUAAGGGUAGGUGAUUGACAUGCACAACCUUGAGGAAU